GAGAGGAGAAAGGACACAGAGAGGAGAAGUGGGUCAGCGGCAGGAGUGGCCAAGAAAUGGAAGUACUCUGCGGUACUGUCAUUCCUCGACCCCUUUGUCACCCCCAGGGAGACGAGAGGGAACAUGUCACAGGGGGUCGAGGAUACCGCAGAGUACGACCACCAGGAAGAAGCAGCAGGGCAAUGGGAGCAUGAGGAAGGAGCCCACCCUGACUCAUCCUCUGAUGGGGAUGGCAGUGAUGGAGGAUCAUCCUGAUCCUCCAUCACUGCCAGAACCUGCUCCCUCUGCUGCUUCUGCUCCUCCUGCCACUGAAGCCCAUUCAACAUCGGCUGCUGUCCCCAGAGUGAGGAGGAGACCCCCAAAGAGGUCCAGGGAGCAGCCGUCGGAGGUGUAGCAGCUGCUUCUGGAGGCCCUCAGAAACAGGCCAACAACACCCGCUCCACCUCCCCCCUCAGAGGACGAACUGUUCCUCCAAAGUCUGCUUCCCUCCCUGCAGAGAUUGCCACCCCAGACGAAAGAAUUUGUCAAAUUUCAAAUACACAAAUUAAUCUAUGAAUCGAGGACUGUUUCUCUCAAUUUGGAACCAUUGGAACCCACAGAAUAGUUUAUUUUUAAACUGGGGCAACAAUCUCUGCAGGAACCAACCAGACUUUCUCUCCUUUUUCCUCUCCUACUGGUCCGUCACUCUUCCCCCCUUACACCACCAAGCAAGCUCCUUUUUAUUCCUGUUCCUACAUUGUUUUAUUUAUUAUUAUUUA